GUCUUUUUUUUCCCUUUUUUAAAUAAAUGUCAAUUUGAUAUCAAGUAAAACUAUUGUCAUUAUUGAUCAGAAACCAUACAUUCUGAAAAUGAAUCCAGUUUUCCCAAGCUGGCAGAAGUCAGAGAUCAUUUUUCACCUUGAUCUGUGUUGCGUUUGUACUUAGUGAAUGGCAGUGUGGUUGAUUGGAAGAGCUUGACACUGAUGUUUGGAAAAAUUCUUUAUUCUAGUGGUCAUUUUCAAACUUGUCUUCUGUAGAGAGGGGAAAAAUUAUGUAUUUGCAGCUAAAGCGAAGAGACUGGCACAAUAAUUAUUAAUUGUGUUAGUUCAUUUCUAUAUUAAAUGAAGCAUCUUCACAAAUCAGGUUUGAAGCCAUUAAAAGCAAAAUUUUCCCUAGUUUAAUUAAUUUAAAAUUCUAAAUUGCCUGACUACUUAGAAUCUUAGAAACGCCCUGCUAGACUGAUUUUAUUAUAGAAAUGUUAACAUGUUCCUCAACAUUUUCUCAAGAAAAUUUUCAGACAUAUAUCAAAGUUGAAAAAACUUUGCAGUAUAACCACUGCUAGAUUCUGCCAUCAACAUUUGACUAUACUUGUAUUGCCAUGUAUCUGUUCAUAUUCUCUAUCCCUCUUUUCAUCCAUCGAUCCAUCAGAUUUUUUUUUUAAAGAACAUUCCAAAGUAAAUUUUAGGCAAUACACUGCCCUAAAUUCUUAGCAUGGGUGUCAUUAAUUAAGGUUUAGUAUUCGUUUAAAUAUCUAUUUUGAAAGUGGUGUAUGAAGUUGAUAAUCUGAGCCAAUUAACAUACUUUUUUUUUUUUCCUCCUGUGGACUUUUGUCUUCCAGUUUCUCUUUUUGUGUGUACUUAGGGUGAGGGAGGACAAUUCCUUUCAAACACAAGUUUAUUUUAGAAUUGGUCAUUUUUAAGUGCUUGUCAUAAAUUUUAAAGUUUCAAUAUAAUUUUUCUUUUCCCCACUUCUGAUAAUGUAUUUUUGCCAAACUAUGCAGCUUCUUCAAAAAACUGUAAAUUACUGAUUGGGGUUUAUGAAAUCAGCGAAUACCUCAUUUCAAUCUGUUGCUGCUUUUCUCCCUCUUGUCACUUCUCCUUUCACUACUUUCAGCUGCUCUACCAGAAGGUAGAGGGGAGUAAAGGGUCAAACCCCUAUAUAAUUAGCUGUUUUAAACAACUCUAGGAGAGCAGAUUAAGUAGCUUAGUAAGUUGAAACUAUUAAUUUUUCUAAAGAAUUUGAUUUGAAUUCCUUGAGAAUUGUAAUUAUCCACACUUCCUCCAGCUAUAAUUAGCAGAAUUAAAAAUGAUUGUACUGUACAAUGAGUUGUUGAAAUUGUAAGCCUUAGUAACCAUCUUUAGCUUUAUUGUAGUCAUGUUUAGAAAAAAUUAUUUUUACAUAUGCCUUUAUUUUUAUGCCCACUUUUUGUGGAUAAGAUUCUUUAGAUAAAAUCUAAAGAAUUUUAAGUGACUUUCUCCAGGUCAUGAAGAUUCAAUGGGUAGAAUUGAAUCAGAAUUGAAAUGUUCCAGAUUCAUAUUCUUGUGUGUGUUUGAUAAAAUUCAUGGCUUCCAAAGUAACUGAACACUUCCUUUGGGCCCUUGGAGGGAAAAUCCAUAUUUUUACUAAUUACACUUUUUUUUUUAGACAUCUGGCAGUUCUUUGAACUUAAACAUAUUCUCAUGGCCAUAGUUCCAAAUUAAGCCCGACGCAGUUGCUAAAAAUCUUGCUGCACUGUUGAAUACUAAUAAUGCAACAUUUAUUGGAUGUUUUUGCAUUUUGAUGACCUUCAUGAUUCAUUUAUAAGUCUUUGUAAGUGCUUAAGUGACCCCCUCACUAGUGAAAAUAAUAAAUGUUCUAUAUCAUUUAUUAUUAUUUGUGUAUUCUCUACAUGAUAUAUUUUUUUAAGGAAGAGUAACUCCACAUGUCAGAAUGAGUGAUAUUAUCCUAGGGCAAAGCGCAAAUAGGGCAGUUUGUUUCUACUCUGCAAAUAUGGCAUGUAUAGGAACAAAACUCUUUUGGAGUGGCUGGUCAUUGUUCUGCCCUCUUUUGGUACCUGAGUACCUUUCUGGGGUUUUGUAAAUCGUGUGUCAUUUGUAAGAAUUUCACGUUAACUCUGCGUUACUUGGUGUUCACCUGUGGUAUCCUUGACUGACCAUAAUGAUUUAGUUUGGGUAUGAUGUGUCUGCUUUGAAAUGCCUUACUGGAGUAUGUCAGAUCCUGCUUUAAAGCAUUCCAUAUAUCUGCUGGGACAAUAAGUUGCUUCUCCUUGGAAAUAUGCUCUAGAUUCAGAAGCAAAACCGAUUUUGCUUUCACCAUUAAGGUUGCAUUUUAAUGCAGUUAUUGUUUUAAAUUAGAGAAUAAAAUGUAAAACCAAGGGAGGCUUUAGAACCCUUUAUUGAAUGGCAUGGCAAACUUUUAAAACUGCUUUUGCUAUUUCACUAGAACUAUCUUUGAUAAAGGAUAUAGCUAAAAAAUGUCAGCCCAAACUGUGUGUAAUUAGGGUUGUUUAUUAAAAUUUUCUCUAAAUGUCAUACAGAGGCUUAAGAUCUGUGUAUGCUGUUGGGUCGGAGUGCCAGUCACUGCUUUGGAAGUCUGUGUUCUGGGGCUGCAGAAUGACAAACGUGUCAUGGGAUUAAAACCAAUCAACUGUGAAUUGUGAAAUUGAAACUACUCUUUCGGUUUUAUUUUCUUUAGCAUAUUGAGUAUAGAAAUCUGAAACUUAUUUAAAAUUUAUACUGCUUUUGUUGAUGGCUCAUUUUGGCUGUGUAUCCUCACUUAUGUACUGAUUUCUGAUAAAGGCUUGACAUUAUUAUAACACGCAUUUUGUGUUCCAGUUUAAUAAAACGGUUUCUGAGUCUUGUCUGAAAA
rnacentral:lncRNA from 10 species